AUUCCUACGGGAGGCAGCAGUGGGGAAUAUUGCACAAUGGGGGAAACCCUGAUGCAGCGACGCCGCGUGAAGGACGAAGUAUUUCGGUACGUAAACUUCUAUCAGCAGGGAAGAAAAUGACGGUACCUGACCAAGAAGCCCCGGCUAACUACGUGCCAGCAGCCGCGGUAAUACGUAGGGGGCAAGCGUUAUCCGGAUUUACUGGGUGUAAAGGGAGCGUAGGCGGUCCGUUAAGUCAGCGGUAAAAUUGCGGGGCUCAACCCCGUCGAGCCGUUGAAACUGGCAGACUUGAGUUGGCGAGAAGU
rnacentral:rRNA from 1 species